AGUCACAUAGUGUAGUGGUUUGAACGUGGGACUAUGAUUCUGGAGACCAGGGUUCGAAUCCCUGCUUGGCCA